UUUGUUUGCAGGUGGCUGGACGUUUUGACAUCGUCGCAGGGAGAAACCAAAAUAAUAUUUCCAGCAUCGAAGGAUUACAUUAUUCUGGCAGGUUCAGGCACCGUGGCCAUGCGCCUCACAGGGGAUUCGCUGCUAGCAGAAUAAAAGGACCCCUCCAACGCAUGCUGACCAACUUCGAUGUAGCAUCGUGCGUCAGAGAUCAGAUGGGGGCGAGGCAGCGGCGGCGCUGAGGGAUGCGUGGCCAGCUGACUCGUUGCGUGCUGCUGCUGCCGCUGCUGCUGCUGCCGUGGCCGGCCGGC